GCUUAACACAUGCAAGUCGAGGGGCAGCAUGGUCUUAGCUUGCUAAGGCCGAUGGCGACCGGCGCACGGGUGAGUAACGCGUAUCCAACCUGCCUUACACUCUUGGACAGCCUUCUGAAAGGGAGAUUAAUACAAGAUGUUAUCAUGAGUAAGCAUUUUCGCAUGAUUAAAGGUUUACCGGUGUAAGAUGGGGAUGCGUUCCAUUAGAUAGUAGGCGGGGUAACGGCCCACCUAGUCUUCGAUGGAUAGGGGUUCUGAGAGGAAGGUCCCCCACAUUGGAACUGAGACACGGUCCAAACUCCUACGGGAGGCAGCAGUGAGGAAUAUUGGUCAAUGGACGAGAGUCUGAACCAGCCAAGUAGCGUGAAGGAUGAAGGUUCUAUGGAUUGUAAACUUCUUUUAUACGGGAAUAAACGGAUCCACGUGUGGAUUUUUGCAUGUACCGUAUGAAUAAGGAUCGGCUAACUCCGUGCCAGCAGCCGCGGUAAUACGGAGGAUCCGAGCGUUAUCCGGAUUUAUUGGGUUUAAAGGGAGCGUAGAUGGGUUGUUAAGUCAGUUGUGAAAGUUUGCGGCUCAACCGUAAAAUUGCAAUUGAUACUGGCAGUCUUGAGUACAGUUGAGGUAGGCGGAAUUCGUGGUGUAGCGGUGAAAUGCUUAGAUAUCACGAAGAACUCCGAUUGCGAAGGCAGCUUACUAACCUGUAACUGACAUUGAUGCUCGAAAGUGUGGGUAUCAAACAGGAUUAGAUACCCUGGUAGUCCACACGGUAAACGAUGAAUACUCGCUGUAGGCGAUAUACAGUCUGCGGCCAAGCGAAAGCAUUAAGUAUUCCACCUGGGGAGUACGCCGGCAACGGUGAAACUCAAAGGAAUUGACGGGGGCCCGCACAAGCGGAGGAACAUGUGGUUUAAUUCGAUGAUACGCGAGGAACCUUACCCGGGCUUAAAUUGCAACCGAAUAUGGCGGAAACGCUAUAGCUAGCAAUAGCGGUUGUGAAGGUGCUGCAUGGUUGUCGUCAGCUCGUGCCGUGAGGUGUCGGCUUAAGUGCCAUAACGAGCGCAACCCUUGCCGAUAGUUACUAACAGGUCAUGCUGAGGACUCUGUCGGGACUGCCAUCGUAAGAUGUGAGGAAGGUGGGGAUGACGUCAAAUCAGCACGGCCCUUACGUCCGGGGCUACACACGUGUUACAAUGGGGGGUACAGAGGGCUGCUACCACGCAAGUGGAUGCCAAUCCCAAAAACCUCUCUCAGUUCGGAUUGAAGUCUGCAACCCGACUUCAUGAAGCUGGAUUCGCUAGUAAUCGCGCAUCAGCCACGGCGCGGUGAAUACGUUCCCGGGCCUUGUACACACCGCCCGUCAAGCCAUGGGAGCCGGGGGUACCUGAAGUGCGUAACCGCAAGGAGCGCCCUAGGGUAAAACUGGUGACUGGGGCUAAGUC
rnacentral:rRNA from 1 species